UGGAACUGCACGUGGUUUUUGUUUGUCACUUCCUGGUUUUCAACAAGUGCACUGACACAGGUCGCAUCAAUCUGGCGAGACCAACUCGGAGCACUUUGCCACCAACCUGCUCUGACAAUUCUGGACUCUCUGGACAAAAUGAUGGGAGACAGUGUUGAUGUCAAGGCUUUGAGGGCCAGGUUCAGCAGCAGCACCAGCGCGUCGCACACGAGCAGCCGGGACAGUAAUUCUCCAAAAUCACCUCGGCGUGGUGUUGGCAGAGCCAUGCCAUCAACACCAGAGAAGGACAUUUUCCGGCCUAGAAUGUCUCCUGCAGUGCUUCCACAUGUGGCUGAUCCAGAUGUAGCAAUGGUAGCCCCCAUCCAGUCCGAGACAGUUUUAUUCCCUCACUCACCUUCUCAUACAGGAGUCAGAGAAGUGGUACAGUCUUCACGUGGUAAUAAGAUUAAACAGACGGGUGAGAUGCUCGAAAAUUUGAUGCUGAGGGGGGCUGCGGGUACCAGAGUCCCCCUUCCAGCUCCAAGAUUGACUGCUCUCCCCCCACCGCGACUGAGGAGCGCAAUCGACGUCAUUCCAUUGAGAAAGCCACUUCCCCCUGAUGGACCCCUUCCCUUGAAACCCAAACGACCACACAAUGUUGACCUCAAGCAAUUUUUCAACAUCGGCCAGCGAGCUAGGCCACUUCCUGCCUCGGGGACAAGAGAAGGCUCAGAAACAAGACAAAUAUCUUUGUCUGGAGUGACUAGUACACCAAAUCCUCCUUCACAACUGAUCAAUUACAGCGGGCUGCAGAAUCAGGUUACCUCUGUGGAAGUUGACAUCUACCAUGAUGAUUAUGAUGACAUUGCAAACUUGGAGGACCAAGAUGACUAUGAUGAUCUAUCAAGUGAGGAUUUUCCACCGCCACCACCACCACCACCACCUGACAUUAGUGUUGACGCCAUUGUGGAAAAGGAACUGAGGAAAAAAUUCAAGUACAAGGGUCCACUCAGAGUGUUGCAGACCGUGAUGAUCAAUCCCAACGGUGUCAUGAAGAAGGCAGGAAGGAAGGACCUCCAUGUGUCUCCAGGGGAUGUCGUCGACAUCAUCCAGCUCACCAAAAGCAAGAAAGCUCUUUGCCACAAUCGCAGAUCAGGAAAAUGUGGCUAUGUAUCCAGAAAGCUUCUCGUUCGGCUGUGAGUUAAUGUUACUUUGCAACUUUCAUUCAUGUGGAUCUCGUAACACAUCUAUUAUAAGCUUCAUUAAUGAUUAUUGUUCUUUAAAAAACAAGUUAUUGAUGCUGAUGUAGUCAAUGGGUCGUGUGGCGAAGAAAUUAAAAAGACUCAUCAAAGGAAACUUGAAUGAAGAUUGGGUGAUUGAUUGCAUUGAUAUUUAUCUUAUUCGUUUCCAGGGAAGAAGACUUUUAUGACCAUUAUGUCAGUGAACCACAUGAAAACGACUAUGAGGACACUGAUUAUUAAUCCAUGUCAAAUUAAACCCAGAUAAAGAGAUGCAUACCGAUGUAGAGAUAAAUGGAUGGAAACAGACUACAGUAUAUUAAAACUAAAUGAACCUGAGAACCAAAACUGCUUGCUAGAGAGUUGUAUUGUUUAUAAACUGGGAGGGGGAGGGGGGCAUCAAUCUUUCAUCGAACCUAUCAAAUGAAGGAAACUGUAGAUGUAAUCACUCAAGGUUGUUGUACAUAAUAUGGACUCUAUUGUAGAUUUUGCUUGCCUUGAACUCUGAGAUAAUUUUUAAUAAACCCUGCUAUUUAAAUAAA